CCUACGGGUGGCUGCAGUGGGGAAUAUUGGACAAUGGGGGGAACCCUGAUCCAGCCAUGCCGCGUGUGUGAAGAAGGCCCUCGGGUUGUAAAGCACUUUCAGUGAGGAAGAACGCCUGGUGGUUAAUACCCAUCAGGAAAGACAUCACUCACAGAAGAAGCAACGGCUAACUCCGUGCCAGCAGCCGCGGUAAUACGGAGGGUGCGAGCGUUAAUCGGAAUUACUGGGCGUAAAGCGCGCGUAGGUGGCUUGAUAAGCCGGUUGUGAAAGCCCCGGGCUCAACCUGGGAACGGCAUCCGGAACUGUCAAGCUAGAGUGCAGGAGAGGAAGGUAGAAUUCCCGGUGUAGCGGUGAAAUGCGUAGAGAUCGGGAGGAAUACCAGUGGCGAAGGCGGCCUUCUGGACUGACACUGACGCUGAGGUGCGAAAGCGUGGGUAGCAAACAGGAUUAGAUACCCGGGUAGUC
rnacentral:rRNA from 1 species